rnacentral:lncRNA from 1 species
CAAGUUCAUUGAUUAGCAUAUUAAAUGAAAUCUGAAUUUGGAGCAUGCUGUAGUAAUCAGAUAAAUUAUACAUGUUGGACUUGGAAUUUGACUUAGGAGAAAAUCAGCGAUUUGACUCGUCAUAUGCUUAUACUACCUGAUUUAGCUCUAGGAGCUGGGAUUGGUUUGUAUCACCGCAGUUUCAGCGCGAUGGAUACUCAGGGUAGUUUAGAAUGCAUUUACACUCGGGCGGGAUGCCGAGCUUAGAUAAUAUUCAACUGUAGGUUCUACACUGUCUUUUCUGUUCGCUCCUUAAGCUUUUGUGCUUCGUAUCCACGCUGUUAGUGCGCAUUUGAUACUCAGAUAGCUUCUGAAGCUGUUGUGCUUCGUAUCCCCGCUGUUAGUGCGCAUUUGAUACUCAGCUUCGGGAGCUGUCGCGAAUAGUAUCCACACUGUUGUGUGCAUUUCAUACGCUGAAAGCUUAGGAGCUGCAGUAGAUCUGUAUCACCGCAGUUUGUUGGCGGUAGAUACCCGGAAUAGUGUAGAAUGCAGUUAUGCUCGUGCGGAGAUGCCGAGCUUAUUUUUAUAGCAAUGUCUAGGCUGUUUCGGACUGUCGGGUACCGUCGGGGUUUACGGUGGACCCAGAUUGCGGGUUUUGCAUCAGAUUGUGCCGAGAGCACGUAAGUUUUGGUUGUUAGACCAGUUGGACCCUAUUUACUUGAUUAUAGCCUGUGAGAACCUGAUUGAGCUCAGUAGAGAUACGCUUGCAUACUCGGUUCGUAGCGCCAACGAGUGCCACUCCGGAGUCGGGCUUUGUGCCUUUGCGUUGUGUAGUGUCCUGGUUGGACUUGCUCUCCACGGACUGAUUAGUGUGGAGGUAGCAUUUAGGAUUCGACAGGCGGGACGGGUGCGUUCACAGUCCCUGGGACAGGUGUGUUCACAGUCCCUAUGGAUUUGGGUCUGAGGUUGCAUUACUCUACAGAUAGUAGUGUUGGAUCAUGAUAGGAUAGUGACAUAUAGCUGUAGAUUUGUU